UACAGAGGGUGCAAGCGUUGUUCGGAAUUAUUGGGCGUAAAGCGCACGUAGGCGGCAAGGCAAGUCAGGUGUGAAAGCCCCGAGCUUAACUCGGGAAUUGCAUCUGAAACUGCUGUGCUUGAGUUCUGGAGGGGGUAGUGGAAUUCCCAGUGUAGCGGUGAAAUGCGUAGAUAUUGGGAGGAACACCUGCGGCGAAGGCGGCUACCUGGACAGAAACUGACGCUGAGGCGCGAAAGCUAGGGGAGCGAACGGG
rnacentral:rRNA from 1 species